rnacentral:rRNA from 1 species
GAUGAACGCUGGCGGCGUGCCUAAUACAUGCAAGUCGAGCGAACAGACGAGGAGCUUGCUCCUCUGACGUUAGCGGCGGACGGGUGAGUAACACGUGGAUAACCUACCUAUAAGACUGGGAUAACUUCGGGAAACCGGAGCUAAUACCGGAUAAUAUAUUGAACCGCAUGGUUCAAUAGUGAAAGACGGUUUUGCUGUCACUUAUAGAUGGUUCCGCGCCGCAUUAGCUAGUUGGUAAGGUAACAGCUUACCAAGGCAACGAUGCGUAGCCGACCUGAGAGGGUGAUCGGCCACACGGGAACUGAGACACGGUCCAGACGCCUAAGGGAGGCAGCAGUAGGGAAUCUGACGCAAUGGGCGAAAGCAUGACGGAGCAACGCCGCGUGAGUGAUGAAGGCCUUCGGAUCGUAAAACUCUGUUAUUGGGGAAGAACAAAUGUGGAAGUAAAUAUGCACGUCGUGACGGUACCUAAUCAAAAAGCAACGGCUAACUACGUG